GCAGCCGCCGCGGGAAUACGUAGGUGGCAAGCGUUGUCCGGAAUUAUUGGGCGUAAAGGGCUCGCAGGCGGUUUCUUAAGUCUGAUGUGAAAGCCCCCGGCUCAACCGGGGAGGGUCAUUGGAAACUGGGAAACUUGAGUGCAGAAGAGGAGAGUGGAAUUCCACGUGUAGCGGUGAAUGCGUAGAGAUGUGGAGGAACACCAGCGGCGAAGGCGACUCUCUGGUCUGUAACUGACGCUGAGGAGCGAAAGCGUGGGGAGCGAACAGGAUUAGAUACCCCUGUAGUCCCUGUCUCUUAUACA
rnacentral:rRNA from 1 species